rnacentral:rRNA from 1 species
AGACGGAGGGGGCUAGCGUUAAUCGGAAUUACUGGGCGUAAAGCGCGCGUAGGCGGCUGAUUAAGUCGGAUGUGAAAUCCCUGGGCUCAACCUAGGAACUGCAUCCGAUACUGGUCAGCUAGAGUUUUGGAGAGGUAAGUGGAAUUUCCGGUGUAGCGGUGAAAUGCAUAGAGAUCGGAAGGAACACCAGUGGCGAAGGCGACUUACUGGCCAAAAACUGACGCUGAGGUGCGAAAGCGUGGGUAGCGAACAGGAUUAGAAACCCGAGUAGUCC